rnacentral:rRNA from 1 species
UACGGGGGGGGCAAGCGUUGUUCGGAAUUACUGGGCGUAAAGGGCUCGUAGGCGGCCAACUAAGUCAGACGUGAAAUCCCUCGGCUUAACCGGGGAACUGCAUCUGAUACUGGAUGGCUUGAGUUCGGGAGAGGGAUGCGGAAUUCCAGGUGUAGCGGUGAAAUGCGUAGAUAUCUGGAGGAACACCGGUGGCGAAGGCGGCAUCCUGGACCGGCACUGACGCUGAGGAGCGAAAGCCAG